GUAAGCCACUGCCAUGCCCGCGCUCGCGCCGGCACGCGCAGUCGCUCACCUACU
rnacentral:miRNA from 14 species